rnacentral:pre_miRNA from 1 species
UUAACUAAAAUUUGCAUAGAGUUGAAACGUUUGCCUACGUUUGCCGCUAGGGGCGCUGUUCCAACUGCAUACAAAUUUGAGUUA